rnacentral:lncRNA from 1 species
ACAAGAGAAAGCUUUAUACAAGUAUUGGAUUGCUUGAAUGUUUCUUGGAUGCAAAUGCCAAAUGCCUCUAGCCUAUUUAUAGUUGCUAGAGUCCCAAACUAAUGGCUAAGAUCUAUUCUAAUCAAUGGCUAAGAUCAAAGAUCUAGAGAGUUCUACCAAUCUCUACAAAUCUCUACACCUAGUAGAAUAUACAAGAUGGGACUAGAAGGGUCUAGAGUCUUCCAUUGGAAGGAUCUAGACUCUACACCUAGUAGAAUAUACAAGAUGGGACUAGAAGGGUCUAGAGUCUUCCAUUGGAAGGAUCUAGACUUAGCUAGAGAAAUGCUGCCAUCCGCGCGCCAAAUCAUUGCCAAUGUGCCGC